GCACUUGUGGUCAGUGGUGGGUGGGGUGGGAUGGGAACUAACUCUCAUAUAUGGCACCUGGCAGGCACAAAUAUUUAAUUUAAUCCUCCACAGCAUUGGAGGGUAGGUACUAUUAUUAUCCCCUUUUACAGCUGAGGAAACUGAGGCAAAGAGGUUAAGUGCCUUGUCACAUAGGUAGUGAAUGCCUGAAUCUGAAUUUGAACUCAGUCCCCCCCCCCACACACAAUGCAGUUGUUUAUUGAGAGAGAAAGAGAGGAAAACCUGGGGAAAAAUCCCUCACAUCCUUAACCUGCUACCUACUCCAUUGGAACUCCAUCUCUAACUCCCACAGAAUCAGAACACUCUCUUGUCAGUUAGGAACUUGGGUCUUCCCUACUCCAGUUGCAAUUCUUUAUCCACUGGGCCACCUACCUACCUCAAGAUUCUAUUUGUAGUGAUCUGAAGAACACAGAAAGUUCAUGAGGGAACUCAUUCUACAAAGAAUGCAGUAACAGCAACAAUGUAUUAUGAUCAACUGUGAUUGAAUGACUUAACUAUUAUCAACAAGGCAAGGAUCCAGGACAACUCCAAGAGACUCAUGAAAUAAAAAAAAGAUAUCAAGCACCAAAGAAAGAACACAUGGAAUCUGAAUUCAAACCAACACACACCAUUCUGUAUUUCUUCCAUGAUUUUUUCCUCCAUGAAAGCAAUACUUGCCAGUGUGAUGAACAUGGAAAUAAGUGUUAUAUGAUAAUUUUUUCCUCUGAAUGUGGAUAGAGUUCUUUCUCAUAAAUCCCUCUGAGUUGUUCAGGAUCACUGCAUUGUCCAGGCAAGUAAUGUAACCUCUGUCUGUCUCAGUUUAUUCAAAUGUAAAAUAGGGAUAAUAGUACCUACCUCCCAGGGUUGUUGUAAAGAUAAAAUGAGAUAAUAUUUAUAAGGUGUUUAGCACAGUGCUUGGCCCAUAGUAGGUGCCUAAUAAAUGCUUAUUUCUAUUCCCUCCCCUCACUUUAGUCUGACCUUUUAAUUUUAAGCUAAUAGCUAUAAUUAUGCAAACUACAAUAACAACUUCCCUUUCUAACUCAAUUACAUACAUGCUCAAAAUGUAUUCAUGUAAUAACCAGCACCCUAAAAACUUAAAAGUCUGCUUUUUGACUUUUGAGAGGUCUUUUAGAACAAUGUUCAUGAGGUCAUGACUUUAGAACUGAAAUCUACUUUAAAUGUCUUCUGAUCAUACUCUCUCAUUUUCACAGAUGUUGAAACCAAAACCCAGAACUACUAAAUGACUCAUGAUAUAUUAGUAAAAUGGAAUAUUAUUGUGCCAUUAGAAAUGACAAAUGGACAAUUAAUUUCUAGUUACAGUCUUUAGACAAAUCUUAAGUGUCAGAGCCAAAAUUUGAAUUCAGAUCCUCUAGUUCCAAAUGCAAAAACUCUACUGGUUCACAUUGUUAUUUAAAAGUUUAUAGCAGGUCAUUUUCCUAAUUUAAUAACAGAUGAUAAUAAAGCUUAGUGCAGUGUGGCCCAUCUUCCGUGUAUAGUUUAGGUUGAGUGUCCAGAAAUAACAUAAACUCUUUGUAUUACUGCAUCAAUGAUCUGAAAAUCAGGUGAAGUCAUCUAGAAUCUAUAGGCUUGAACUGGGACAGAGAAGGAAGAUGGACAGGAAGAAUCCAUGUUGUCAACAAAGGAAAAUCAUAGCAGUUCAAUACCCUCAGAGAACUCUACAGACUGCGUGGAGAAAAGGACUAUGAUAUUUGGCUAGGGAAAAGAAAAAACAAGUCCAGGCAAAGAUAAAAAAGGUACACUAUCCCCAAUCCUUAACACUUUUGCCAAUGCAAAGUGAUAUGCCUAGAAAGUUUAAUUCUAGCGGGGAGCUUCCAGACUCCAACCCAGCAACCCUAUAGUCACCUCCAACAGUUCAAGGGGCACUUGCACAUCCAUCCAGAGGAAUAUAGAAACUACAAAAUGUCGCCAGUGUCCCUCAUCCUCCACCAAGACAGAAUCUCCUCAGGGGGAGGAAAGGAAGGACGACACCCCACUGAGAUACAUGCCCAGUAACCUCCAUACACAAGAAUGAGGGAUAUGCUAAAAAUCCAGCUUAUAGCUUCUGGAGCAAGCUCAGAGGGAAAGCCAAAUGAAUGCAACAUCCAACCCCAGGCUGCUAAUUGAGGCAGCCCAAGACUCCAGAGGAGUGGAAGCCCUAUCUUUUGAGUUGAGAAACAGCAUUGCAGACUGCUUCCCAAAGAGUAGGACAACAGCCACCCUUAAGAACCAUUGCCAAGGGGAAUCAGACAUUGUCCAAGUUACCAGAAGAGAGAAGGGGCAAAGACAUAAAUCUAAUACCAUGCUUCACAUAUUAAACGCUAUGUUGCCCCAACUAGCCCAGAUGAAAUUGGAUCAGAAAAAGUCCCAGACCAUAUACAAGAGGCACAGACCCAAAGUGAAAUUGACAGGAAUAGGGAAACACAAGUUAUGGACAGUCCGAAUUAAAGUGACACUGAAAUGUAAGUGAUGACAGAAGGAUACUCUGAUUGUAAACCAGGAAGCAGAAAAACCCAUUACUCUCCCUCUAUAUCUAUCUAACUCUCCAUCUCUCACUGUCACACACUUCAUAUGACAAGAAGAAUAUUACAUACAUUCAGAAAUCCUAAUGCAACAGAGAAAAACUCUACAUACAAAGUCUUACCCAUAUUCACAUGAUUUUAACCAUUAUUACACACCCUCAUACAAUAUCAACCAUUCUUACACAUCCACACUCACCAUAUUGGACCUAAAUCUUACACACAUGCACAUUCCAGUGCAAGGAGAAGAAAGUGACAAUCAAAGUGAGAUGGCAGGGAAAUACAUUUCCUGCACAGAUGAUGAGAUCUGGACCAGAGAGAGAAAGAAUCCUUCCAGGACAUCAUAGACUUUAAAUAAACAAUAAGGAACACAGGGAAGAACUGUAGCCUAUGAACUAAGUAGAAAAAAGAACUUCAAGGACCAUGUCCCAUAAGAUAAGGUGCCAUUAACAUAUUAAUAUCACAUAAAGGGAAAUGCAUCCAACAUGCACAUGAAUCUGGAACAAGAGAAGAUAGAAACAUCAGUCAACAUCGGAAGAGGAUCCAUCUACAGCGAGUAAGUAUGUACAUGUCACACAACAUAGUACAUAACCAUUUAAAGACACUGAUUUAGGGGCCUUGUCAUAAAUAAGCAAGCAGUCCAUGAAAAUGAAAAAUGUACAGACUUGUAAAUAAAGUUCCUGCAAGACUCAAACAGAUAAGGACUGGAAAAAAAAACACAAAACUUUUCUGUCUGGUUGACUCCAAAGCAGAACUCUUGUAUAUAUGUAAUAUAUGUAACAGAUAUACAGAAAACAUAUAUGCACAUAAUAUAAAUCUUAGAGCACAAACAUACUAACAUAGGUUAGGAAUUAAACUAAAAAUCUUAACAUAACUUAGAUAAGGGAGAGAGAAUAGCUAGGUCUGAAAAGGGAAGUUCAAAGUUUAGGAAGCCAGUGACAAGGAAAGGACAGGAUAACAGAAUGUAAGAAACUUAAAUAACUUAAAUAUUAAAGAAUUUGUAAUAGCUAGAGAAGUUAAGAAAACAUAAGGAAUUAGGAAAAUGUUACAGUAGCUAUAGAUUGUUAUCAAAUAGUUAAAUUAACAUUGCAUAUUGUUAUAGGACAUUGUUAGUCCAAAUACAUGUUACUGAAUUGUAUCAACCUUUGUAACAAAACCACAUCUACCCUGAAUAUUUUCCCAAAAGCCCUUCUUAGUUUAGGCAUAAAUAAUUAAAACAGGAUAAGAGUGAUAUAGACAAGGGAAGGCAAUUUUCUUAUUUUGGAGAGUGGGAUAUAGAAUAUAGAUAGACAGAUAUAUUAAAAAAAAAACUGAAGAAACAAUGGUAAUUAAAUUGCCUGCCUCAGCACAUUGUCAAGGUGACAAUGCCAAGCAAGAGGAAAAGGGGAAGUUUGUAAGAGAGAGGAAUAUGCAAAAGAGAGAAAAUGCAAAAAGCAAGAAGUAUCCUAAAUGGGGAAGGGUCAGAAGGAAGAGAACCAGGAUUUCAGGGUGAGAACAGAGGCUGGGUAGAACUCAAAACUGCCACUUCAACUCCCACUCCUCCAGCUGAGAGCCUGACAAGAGGAUCUCAGAGGCUGGAGGUCUCUCCCUGGACACCAACUGCUUCCUAGUGAUCUCUGGAAAUCUUGCUCACCUCAACACAGUAGACUGGACUUUGGAAGAAGCCAUCUACUGAGGAAAUCCUUUCCAUGGAUUUUCUCCACCCCUCUCUCUCCCUAAUCUGUUCUGAACUCCAUCAAUUAAUCAGAUUAGCUCAGGAGUAUGGAAAAAUCAGUAACUGACCAGGAAAGGGGUUAAGGCUGAGAGUCUUGUCCCCUCAAUAGUUGGGGGGUCAGUCUGCCAGUUGUUAGGAAUCCUGCCACCCACUUUCCUUACCCAAACCUCCAAUUUUCACUUCCUUGAGUGAUUCUCCAUUAAAGUGUUACUAUCUAGAUCAAGUCUGCUUACUUUCUCACACCAAAGAAAGGGACUGAAGAUUCUGGGAGAACCAGACCACUCCCCAAAGAAGGAAAAUUAGUUCAAGACCAGGGAUGAAGAGUGAACUCAGAUCUCAAAGGGGAAAGUGGCAGUUGGGGUAUUGGCAGGAUUCAGAGACAGGAAAAUCUAUCCUGCUUUUCAACAACAGCUAAGAUCAAGAAGGGAAGCAGUGGGUCAUUUCUCUUAAACCUCCUCCAGUCCCUAACCUCCACAUCCCAAACUCAGUGUCUGAGGAGACAUAUUCUGCCCCUCAGGGAGACAAAAUUAGGUUCUCUUCACUAAGGGGAAGAGAGGGAAAGAUUAACCUCUUCUCCCCUCUUUCAUUCUCUCAACCCUUUCUCUCCCUCUCCCCAAUUCACCAGUGUAGGUGGCAGUAACCUCCCUUAUUGGCCUAUAUUACAGUGGAUAAUUACCAUGGUUAUUAAGUAUUCAAAUAAAAUUUCUACUCAGAGAAAGAAUCAAUUUUGUAGUGUCAAGGUCAUUUUUCUUAUCCAAUUUUUAUGUGACUAAAAAUUAAGGAGAUAAAACUGCUAAUUUUUGCACUACUCAGAACUUCCCCCCACUUUUUUUUAACAGCAGGAUACCCAAAUAAAUGAAUUUUGCAAAUUUCCUUGUAUGACUCAUUGUGGAUUCCUUUUUUUUUAGUGGAAUAGAAGUCCCUGAACAAAAGGAAUUAUUCCAUUUUUGUCUUUGUUCCCCCCCCCCAUGACUUAGCACAGUUUCUUGUACAUAUUAGACAUUUAAUAGAUUCCUCUUGAAUUGAAUUGAAUGUCUAAAGGUCUCUGCUUACCCUCUCUCAACCUCAGAAAUCUUUUUAUUGGAAGUUAAUUCCUAAAGUGAUGGACUUUACUAGGGGAAAAAAAAACCAUACUGAAAGGCUUGAAAAAUAUAUUGGACCACAGAUUUAGAGCUGAAAGCAUCAUUAUGGGUCAUUCAGUCCAACUUUCUCAUUUUCAAUAUCAGGAACCUAAAUCCUAAAGAAGUUGAGUGACUUGUCCAAAGUUCCAUAAGCAGCAAAUGAACACGGCAAGAUUUGAAUACAGGUCCUUAGAUGACAUGUUUCUGUGAAGAGCCAAUAACUAUUGGUUUGUGAUCAGCACCCUUACUUAAACAGGGAAAUAAUGCUAGUCCUGUCUAAGAUCUAAAGUCAUAGCCUGUAUGACAGCAAUGAACCAGUUUGAAUUCUAAACUAUAAAAUAUUCUCUCCCUACAGAAAAGGAAUAAAAGUACACAGAAUUCUGUGGUUUGGUCUUCUUCAAUUCAGAUAAGCAGCCAAAAAUUCGGAUGCCAAUUCAAAAUUAAUCUCUGGUUUUUCUUGCCAAAAGAUCAAACUAGAAAUCUCCUAAGAAUAGGUUUUCUCACAAUAUUUCCUGUCCAGUACUUCUUGGUUUGGGUCUGAAACAGAGGUACCAAAAUACUGUAAAAAGAUGCCGACUCAAACAAAACUAGAAUUUAUAGUGGUACCUGUAAUUAUCCCCAGCCUGCCAAUCCUAUGACUUUACAAAAAAACUUAGUAUUAAAAUCUAUUCUUAAUGAUUUACUUCUAAUGUAUUCAUAUUCUAAGUAAGGGUUUAUCAGAGUUGUAACUAGGGCUUGAAAAUCAGAGUUUUGUGUCAGGGUAUGAAAUUCAGAGGGUGUUAAGUUCUGAAAGUACUUAUGCCCUUGGUGGACUUGUUUUCUCAGUGGCAAUGACAAUUUUUUCCAAAGGGUAUAUCUAAACCCCUUUUAGAAGUUUAGAAAUCUUUUGGUUUUUACAAAGCAUUCCUCUUCUCCCUAGUUCAUUUCCCUAGCUCCUCCUACUUGCCCCAGGUAUAGAAAUUGCUAGCUGUAUCUCUGGUUUUUAUGUUAUAUUUCUGGUUAUAACUUUGGUUUUAUCACCCAGAUGAGACUUUUCACAAUCCCCCCCACUUGCCUCGUGUAGAAAUUGCUAGGUAGAGCUCUGAUUUUUAUGUAACAUUUAAAAAUUUUCCACCAGUUAAUUUUAAUUCAAACAAAAUCUUUACGAUGGAAUAAAUAUUCCUCCUGGUAGCUAGGAUUUUUUAGUAAUUUUCCAUUUCCUAUAGAAUCACUCAGUCUUCAAAUAGAAUGCAUCUCUUUGAAUCACUUUACUGCUACAUUUAUUUCAUGUUGCUUUUGUGGUAUAAUUUUUGCCUUUAAAUAGUACAGUAUUAAGAAAUGUUGAAACUGUUUUUUGACCGCAUCAUACCUAUGGCUAUUCUGGCUUAGAACAUAAUGUGGCUAUGCAGUUCUUUCAUAGUCUAGUAUUGUGGAACCAGAUUUAGAAUGAAAUUGCUUUCUUAACCAUAACCCUAAAUGACUUGAGUUCUAUGUUAGUGUUUUUCUCUCUUUAUUCUAUUUUGAGAAUUAGUCUAUUGUACUUUGUCUUAGAGUUAUGAGUUUUACUUUUAGGGAGGUAUUUGAAAAAAAUCUCCUCAUAGAGGAAACAUUUCCUGCAUUCUGUUCUAAGAGUUGUAAGUAGGCUGGGAUGGCUCGAGCUUUGCACCACAAAAUUUUGUUCCCUGAAAUGAUCUUCAGGCUUAGAACCCUCUUUUUUUGACAAAAAGCUACAUUAUGCAGUAAUACCUCUUCUCUUUCACCGGCCCCAGGCAGCUAUGGUCUGUCCCCUCAUAUAUCCAGUCAUUUGCCAAAACUUACCAUAUCUUCCUCUUGAUGUCUCCCAUAUUGGAUUACAUUUCUCUCCCCAUAAGGCUGUCAUCUUAUUUUGUGUCCUUGUUACCUUUCUCCGUGAUUGUUUUGUCUCUUAAUUGGUCUUACUGACUCAAGUCUCUCCCCACUUCACUCCAUUCUCCACAUAUUUUUCUUAAGAUCUUUUCUUCCAAUGGCUCUUUUCCUUCUAGGAUAAAAUAGAAACUAUUUACCUGUGAAAACUCUUCAUGACCUAUCUCCAUCUUAUCUUUCCAAUCUCACUGGACAUUAUUUCCUUUCCAACAUUCUUCAAUCUAGCCAAAUUGGCUUUCACUCUAUAUUCCAUAUAAGAUAGUCCAUUCUCUCUCUCUCUCUCUCUUUUCUAUUGGCAGUUCUCCAUGCCUGAACUCCCCAUGCUUCUUCUCUGUUUUCUAGAAUCCCACUCUUCCUUCAAUGUUAGCUUGGACACCACCUUCUUCAUGAAACCUUAAGAACCCCACAACUAUUAGUGCUCUCCCUCCUAAAUUACCAUGUCUUUAACUCCUAUAAUUAUUCUUUCAACUAUAAUACACAUAUCCAUAUAACAUAUUACUAUGUGUAUAUAUACAUAUUUACAUUUAUACAUGCUGUCCUUAUGUAUUAAUGUAUUAUCUCCCUUAUUAGAGUAUAAGUUCCUUGCAAGUAAUAAUUGCUUAACUUUCUGUAUUUGUAUCUUCAAGACCAAGUGCAGUAUUGAUUCAUUGUGACUACUUGAUAAAUAUUUUUAAAAUUAAUUUCAAAAACCAACCUUUGUCAAAGACCAUAGGUUCAAAGGCCUAGAUCUGGAAGAGACUUCAGAGAUGAUCUAAUUCAAUCUCAUCAUUUACCAAUUAAAAAUAAGCAAAAAAAAAAUUAAAGGAAAUUAAGUGAUUUAUUCAAGGCCACACAGGUAAUAUCAAGAAUAGGGAUUCACAUCCAUUCUUUUGAUUCUAUAGUGAAUACUCUUUUCCCUGAACUUAGGUGGCUUUGUCAUGACAAUAAGAGGAAACCUUGAUCUAUCUACUGGAUUUCAGGUUCCAGGAAACUAGGACAAGGCAAAUUCUCACUAGAAGCUGAAUAUACCUAGAAUGUCAGUUUUUUGGGGGAGGAUAUAGGACUGAGACCUAAUAAAGAAUAACGUUUCUGGGUAGAGUCAUGUAUGUACUUGUGGACAUAUUUAAAUCUCUCAUUCUAGUUUUGGAAUUCUGGGGACUUAUUAGAGAGGAAGAGAUUCUGUGGCAGGUUUUUAUGGUGGUCAGCUACUAAUGCUAUUUGUUACCUGCCUGGGAAAUUUUCUUAUGAAAGAUAUAUAUUGGAAUAUGAGUAAUGGGUAAAUCAUUCGAAUAGGCUACCCUAGCUAAAUUGUAAUGAAGCCUUGACUCAAAUUUAAAUGAUGCUACAAAUCAAUCAAAACCAGUUUGAGAAAAUGUUGAUGCCCACCUUUAAAAAUGUAACAUAUAGAAUUACAUAAGUCCCCCAAUGAUAUUACUGUAUUUCAAAAUGAAACAUUUUAUUACAUACUAUAAUACUGUCCUACCAGCAUUUUCCAAGCCACCCUAAAACAAUUUUUGUUGUUUUUCCUUCAUAAUUUACUGAGUGAUUUCUCAGUGUUGAUGUUUAAAUAAAAACACAGGGUGUUUGUUAAUCUGAAGGACAGAUGCUAUCAAUAUUAGCCAGAAGGUAUUCAAAAGUAUCCCGUGUAGUGAGUGCUGAAUUUCACUUGUGGUAGGCUUUAACAGUUUUUUCUAUGAAAUGCUAUAGUGUUUUCAAAUAAUCUCUUUUUUUUUUUCCAAGAGAGGUGGGCUGGAUGGUUCAAUUCUAACUUUUCCUUAUGAAUAUUGGAAAUGAAAAUGAGUGUUUCAUUAGGUAGACAAUGUUUCUGGCUUGGGAGUGACACUUCUGAUGGCAAAAGAAAUGCAUGAGUAUCUGACUCAAUUUAUCACUGAGAAUUCAAAGUUAGGAAACAGUGAAAGAGAACCUUGGUGUGCAAGCUGAGUUAAGGGGAGGUAAGUUUUAGUGAUAAUUGGGCAUUCAUUUGAAGAAAGUAAGCAAGAACAUUAAAUAUAUCCAGUUCCAUAUAAGUGCUAUGGGAACUUUGACAUCUCUGGCCUGAACAGGCUUGCAAUUUAUCUCCAAGAUAUUCCACACACAUCCCUUCCUUUGAACUCAGAGAGUAACUUCCUUUAGCCCUUCAUCAUCUUUUGCCAGGAAUAUUAGAAUAGUCUCCAAGUUGUAUGACAUGCUUCAACUCUUUCUCAAUCUCAGUUCAUCCUUUACAGUUACCUAAAUCAUCUUUCUAAGGAGCAAAUCUGACCAUAUCAUUACCCUGCUCCAAUCAAAUGAGAUAAUAUUUUUAGUGCUUACUACAACUCCUGGAACAUUUGUUGCUAUUCAGUUAUUUCAAUUGUGUCUUAUUAUUUGUCAUUAAAUUUGGAAUUAUCUUGGCAAAGUUACUGGAGUGGUUUUCCAUUUCCUUCUCCAGCUCAUUUUAUAGAUGUGGAAACUGAGGCAAACAGGGUUAAGUGACUUGUCCAGGGUCACACAAUAAGUAUCUAAAUGCUGAAUGUGAACUCAAUUCUUCCUGAUACUAGGGGGCCAUCACUUCAUCCAUUGCACAAUGUAGCUGUCCCUACAUAGUAGGCUUUUAAUAAUCGCUUCCUCUUUUUUCUCUAUAUUUCUUUUAGUUUCAUUAUAGGCAAGCAAAUCCCUUCUUUCUGGGCCUCAAAGUUGGAAUGAUUUCUAAGGCUUCUUCCUUCUCCAAAUCCUUUUAUAUAGAACAGUAGAGUAGGGGCCAGGGUUUAGAUCCUCUAUCUGAUUCUAUUUUUUUAAACCUUUACCUUCUGUCUGAGAAUAAAUACUAUAUAUUAGUUCAUGGGCAAGAGAGCAGUGAGGGCUAAGCAAUGGAGGUUAAGAUACUUCUCCAGGGUCACAUUGCUAGGAAAUGUCCGAGGUCCAAUUUGAACCUAGUAUCUCCCAUGUCUAUACUUGACUCUCAAUUAACUGAGCCACCUGCCUGCCCCUCAGAUAAGUAUCUGAGCCAGAAUUUGAACCCAUUUCUUUUUUUUAACCCAUAACUUCUUAGAAUCCUUAAUAACUAUCAGUUCCAAAGCAGAAGAGAGAUAAGAGUUAGGCAGUUGAAGUUAAGUGAUCUGCCCAAGGUCACACUGCAAGGAGUAUCUGAGGCCAGGUUUGAAUCCAUAAACUCCUCCAAGUCUGGCUUUCUAUCCACUGAGUUACCUGGAUAACUACCGGUGUCUAAUUCUAACUGUUAUGUAAGUAUAAGCAGUUCACAGAAUCUUAGAUUUAGAUGGGACCAUGGAAGCUAUCUAGUCUCUUAAGAAGUGAACUAGUAUUCCUCUUCUAGGGCAACAAAAAGUAAGGGUUUAAAAAACAAAAAAAGAAUCAGAUGGAGCAUCUAAAUCCUGGAUCCUACUGAUAUUAAGCUUUUGUUUUGUUUUGUUUUGUUUUUUGGUCAGAGGCACUAUGAGCCUCAGUAAUUUUUCACCUAAAAUGUUUUCAACCACCCAGCAGACUUUCUGAAGGGUUAAAUUAUCUUUUUUGUCCUAUUAACCAUUAUAAUAAAUGCAAAACUGUGGACCUGUGUAUCUGCAAUUUUACAGCAUAUCAAACUCCUGCGUGAAAAAAAGUACCUUUCAGAUCAACAACUACUCUAUAGCUUCCCAGAUAAUUUGGGUCUCAGGUAGCAUUUGAAUCCAGAUCUUCCUGCAUCCAAGACACAUUUCUUAUCCAGUGUGCCAUACUGUCAGAAUUGUGUAUUCUCUAAUACAUGAACUCAAGAAUCAUGCAGAUGUGUUGAAAGACCACUAGAAUGACAGAAAACACUCUCAGCCCAUUAUAUUCUGGGAUAGCUCUAAUUAUUAUAAUAUUUUGUCUUGCAUUAAGCUUAAAUUUGUAUCUUUUCAACUUCUACCUGUUACUUCUAGUUCCACCUUUUGGGAAUAAGCUAAACUUGUCUAAUCCAUAUUCCAAAGGACAUGUCUUCAGUUGCCAGCAGAGAUGUGUUUUUUUGUUCCCUACUUUUUUCUGGACUAUUUUUCAUCCUGGUUGUCCUCCUUCAAGACACUCUCCCUAUGUCAAAGUCCUGCCUAAAAUAUGGCACCUGAACUCCAGGUGUGGUCUGACUAGUGUAGAUACCAUUGAGUGAUGACUCCCUCACCCCAGUUCUAGACACUCCCUCUCUUCUAAUGCAGCCUAGGGUUUAAUUAGCUUUGGAGCUCUGCCAUAUCACAUUAUAUACUCCUACAGAGUUUAUUGUCCAUUAAAAAAAUAUCCAAAUCGCUUUUCAGAUGAAGGACUACCUAACCAUUUAGCCUAUGCUGGCCAAAUAGGAUUAAUAAUACUUGUAAUCUAUGCCUCAUAGGGAUAUUGUGAAGAUUAAAUAAGAUAAAGCACCAUAUAAAUGUCACUUAUGAUGAUACUAUUAAAUUACCAUGUGAAUUUGUAGAAAACAUGUCUCUAAAGGGCUUCUAAGGAUAAAUCUAUCUAAAGUAUGUAAAUAAAAGUACUGUAUGUAUAUGUACACAUACAGAGAGAGUUCUGGCUCGCCUUACUUUUCUAACUUUGAAUCUUUCCUUAAGAAUUUACGACUCCUUGAAGUAGAAAAAAAAGACAGUAUUUAUAUUUGGUCUCUGUGACUCAGUCUGAGUCUACAAUAAUUCAUGCCCACACACAGAAUCAGGAAAAGAAGAUAGCUGACUAAUUCAGGAGGUCUCAUCUUUCUAUUGAGGAAGAAAAGGAAGGUUAUACUGGUUUCUUCUUCUUAUCUAUUAUCUAUAUGUGUGAAAUUUUGCUCAUAGGUUUUUUUCUUUAAGUUCUUCUGCCUUAGAACAGAUACUAAAUAUCAGUUCCAAAGCAGAAGAGUGACUAGGCAGUUGAGGAUGAAUGACUUGCCCAGGGUCACAAAGCUAAGAAGUGUGCAUGAUCAUAUUUGAACCUAGGACCUCCUGUUUUCAGGCCAUUGGGCUACCCAGCUAUUUCUGUAUCUAUAGUAUUUCAAGCUCAACCACAAAUAAAGAAAAAGAAACUUGUUGUUUGACUGAUUCUAAAGGUCUUAUACUUCUGUUGAGGAAGGGAAGGAAGGUUGUAUCUGUUAUUUACUCUUAUCUUCUACCUAUAUCUAUGAAGUUAUGCUCAUCAAUUGUUAAGGAGUUUGUGCUAUAUUAGCCAGAAAAAUGAAAGGUUUACUUUAGAUGCAUUUUCUAAUCAAAAGUCUGAACAAAAACAAAAUGUGCUAACCUCUGGGGAUAUAAAUAGAAAAGUGAAACUGCCUUCCCUGCUCUCAAAGAGCUUAUAUUUGAAUGGGGAGGAAAGCAUUUAAAAAGGAGCUAGAGGUGGAAAGGGGCAGAAGGAAUAGGAGGCAAGUGGCAUGGUUUCUAAAUGGUUGGGAAAUGCAAUGGUGAUACACUUUUGAACAAGAUAAUGUGGAAUUUCAUCUAUCUGAUUCUAGGCUCCCAAAAGACUAGUAGGAAGUAGAAGAUAGAGUAUAGGUGACAUGGUUUGGAGCUAUGUUCUGGCCUAGGUCUGACUCAGGCCAGUGUUGUGAUAGUUUAGAUUCAAUACUAGAAUAAAAUGAGACACUCAUAAGUUAAGAAGAAACUUACUUAGCUCUAGUUGGAUAUUCAACAAACAUAAGGCACUGUGAAUACCAUAAAUUGAUUGAAGUUCCCUUGCUAUAUUAUUCAUUAUGAUUUAUAAGUCUAGUCUUGGCUUUCUUCUUGGCUGCUUUGAGCUCAGGUGAUGAGGAAGUGCUUGUCGACAGUGUGAGCCCUUGGUCCCCAGGGGAAACACCCCCCCCCAAAAAAAGCCCAACCUAACUGGAUAUGGGGGAGGGGAUUUGGAUAUUGCUCCCACUAGGAGAUCUGUGUAGGAAGGAGUUAGGAACUGGUUUUUGGCAAGAUAAAAUUAGUCACCUAUCAGCCUAUGCUCCCAAGAGUAAGAAUCUGAGUUCUGGUGUGAGGCUGAGGAGGGCUAUAAUACACUUAGGUAGAAGGGUUUUAUAGUUAGUGGAGUAUUAUCCCUAAAGUUUAUUGGGCUAGAAGACAGCUCGUUUUGAAUUCCACACUGAAAAUAUGUGGGUUCUGCAAAUGGUGUGGUCAAUCACAAGAACAUGUGUCAUUGGUUUAGAAUUUAAAUUAUAAUUUUAAAAGUCAUGCUGUUAUUGUAAUGAGCCAAAUUGGAUUUUAUUUGAACUCAAUUAUUCAGUUACGUAAAGUGUGCUUCUCUUGAUUCCUGUUAUAAAACUGACAUUAGUUCAAGGAAAUCAAUUGUAAUGAUUUCAUUUUCAAUGCAUUUAUUGCAUUGAAUGCAUUUUCUUCCUCUUUAACAGUGUUGUAUAUUAGGAAGAACACUAGGCUUAACAGUCAGAACGCUUGAGAUUCAAGUUCCCAUUCUGACACUAGUUAUAAAUAUGAAUGAUUUUGUUUUCAAUUUAUUUUUUAAAAAGCCAUUACCUUCUUUCUUAAAAUUGAUAAGUAUUGAUUCUAAGGGAGAAGAACAGUAAGAGCUAAGCUAUUGGGGUUAAGUGACUUAACUAGGUACAAACAGCUGUUAAGUAUCUGAGGUCAGAUUGGAAUCCAGAUCCUUCCAACUCCAGGACUGGCACUCUUGCUUUUACCUUGCUGCCCAUGACUUUUACCACUUAUGUUCUCAAAGUUUGUUACCUCACCCAUAAAUGUGAUAAUAAUACCUGUACUAUCUACCUCAUAGAGCUGUUGUAAAGAUUCAAUGAGGCAUGAGAAGCAGUGAAGUAUAAUGAAAAGGAUAUUGGACCUGGAGUUGGAUGAUGGGUUCAGGUCUCAGUUCCUUUAGUUACCAGCUACAUGAAUUCCAGCUCUUAUAUAAAUGACCCUCUGUCAUAGGUUUGAUAAAGUACAAGGUACCAUAUAACUCUCAGUUAUUACUGCUCAGCAUGAAAAUUGAAAUGUUGCUCAUAACUCCUAUCCCCUGAUAGAAUGUCAACUUUUUUAAAAAUUAGAAAAAUAAUUAAAAUAUUUUCAUUUAAUUAAUUUAGAAUAUUUUUCCAUGGUUACAUGAUUCAUGUUCUUUCCCUCACCUCAUUCCACCCUCCUCCCUUGCCAACACACAAUUCCACUGGGUUUUACAUUUGUCAUUGAUAAAGACCUAUUUCUAUAUUAUUGAUAUUUGCACUUGGGUGAUCAUUUAGAGUCUACAUCCCCAAUUACAUCCCCAUUGAACCAUGUGAUCAAGCAGUUGUUUUUCUUCUGUGUUUCUAUUUCCACAAUUCUUACUCUGGAUGUGGUUGGCAUUCUUUCUCAUAAGUCCCUCAGAAUUGUCCUAGAUCAUUGCAUUGCUGCUAGUAGAGAAGUCCAUUACGUUUGAUUGUACCACAGUGUUAUCAGUCUCUGUGUACAAUGUUCUACGAUUCUGCUCCUUUCACUUUGCAUCAAUUCCUGGAGGUCAUUCCAGUUCCCAUGGAAUUCCUUCAGUUCAUUAUUCCUUUCAGAACAAUAGUAUUCCAUUACCAGAAGAUACCACAGUUUGUUCAGCCAUUCCCCAAUUGAAGGGCAUCCCUUUUUUUCCAAUUUUUUGCCACCACAAAGACUGUGGCUAUAAAUAUUUUUGUACAUGUAUUUUUCCUUAUUAUCUCCUUGGGGUAUACACCCAGCAGUUGUAUGGUUGGAUCAAAGGGCAGGCAGUCAUUUAAAGCCCUUGGGGCAUAGAAUGUAAACUUCUUAAGGGGA